rnacentral:lncRNA from 1 species
AGAGCGGCGCUGCCUGCGGAGGCGAUGGGGGAGAAGAAGGAUGGUGGUGGUGGGGGUGAUGCGGCGGCCACGGAGGGUGGCACAGGGGCUGCGGCCAGCCGGGCGCUGCAGCAGUGCGGGCAGCUCCAGAAGCUCAUCGUCAUCUUCAUUGGCAGCCUGUGCGGGCUGUGCACCAAGUGCGCUGUGUCCAGUGACCUCACCCAGCAGGAGAUACAGACCCUGG